rnacentral:rRNA from 1 species
GUCGAACGGCAGCACGGGGGCAACCCUGGUGGCGAGUGGCGAACGGGUGAGUAAUACAUCGGAACGUGUCCUGUAGUGGGGGAUAGCCCGGCGAAAGCCGGAUUAAUACCGCAUACGAUCUACGGAAGAAAGCGGGGGAUCGCAAGACCUCGCGCUAUGGGGGCGGCCGAUGGCAGAUUAGCUAGUUGGUGGGGUAAAGGCCUACCAAGGCGACGAUCUGUAGCUGGUCUGAGAGGACGACCAGCCACACUGGGACUGAGACACGGCCCAGACUCCUACGGGAGGCAGCAGUGGGGAAUUUUGGACAAUGGGGGAAACCCUGAUCCAGCAAUGCCGCGUGUGUGAAGAAGGCCUUCGGGUUGUAAAGCACUUUUGUCCGGAAAGAAAACUUCUCCAUUAAUACCGGGGGAGGAUGACGGUACCGGAAGAAUAAGCACCGGCUAACUACGUGCCAGCAGCCGCGGUAAUACGUAGGGUGCGAGCGUUAAUCGGAAUUACUGGGCGUAAAGCGUGCGCAGGCGGUUCGUUAAGACAGAUGUGAAAUCCCCGGGCUUAACCUGGGAACUGCAUUUGUGACUGUCGAGCUAGAGUAUGGCAGAGGGGGGUAGAAUUCCACGUGUAGCAGUGAAAUGCGUAGAGAUGUGGAGGAAUACCGAUGGCGAAGGCAGCCCCCUGGGCCAAUACUGACGCUCAUGCACGAAAGCGUGGGGAGCAAACAGGAUUAGAUACCCUGGUAGUCCACGCCCUAAACGAUGUCAACUAGUUGUUGGGGAUUCAUUUCCUUAGUAACGUAGCUAACGCGUGAAGUUGACCGCCUGGGGAGUACGGUCGCAAGAUUAAAACUCAAAGGAAUUGACGGGGACCCGCACAAGCGGUGGAUGAUGUGGAUUAAUUCGAUGCAACGCGAAAAACCUUACCUACCCUUGACAUGGUCGGAACCCUGCUGAGAGGUGGGGGUGCUCGAAAGAGAACCGAUACACAGGUGCUGCAUGGCUGUCGUCAGCUC